AUUGCACGCUAGCGGGAUGCUUUACACAUGCAAGUCGAACGAUUGGCGGACGGGUGAGUAAUAUAUCGUAACGUGCCCAGUAGCGGGGGAUAACUACUCGAAAGAGUGGCUAAUACCUCAUACUAUUGCCUCGGCCGUUAACGGAUUAGCUAGUUGGUGGGGUAAAGGCUCACCAAGGCAACGAUCCGUAGCUGGUUUGAGAGGACGACCAGCUACACUGGGACUGAGGCACGGCCCAGACUCAUAGGGGAGGCAGCAGUGGGGAAUUUUGGACAAUGGGGGAAACCCUGAUCCAGCCAUCCCGCGUGUAUGAGAAGGCCUUCGGGUUGUAAAGUACUUUUGGCAGAGAAGCGGUAUCUGCAGAAUAAGCACCGGCUAACUACGUGCCAGCAGCCGCGGUAAUAC
rnacentral:rRNA from 1 species